AGUUUGCCUGGUCUUAACUUAGAUUACCACUUUCUUCAUUAUUACAUUAUCAUCUCACCCCUACACUCUAAAUCAACAACAGGAGGGAAAAACUCACUGGGAAAAGCUCUGCCCAAAUCACAGGGCUGCUGCUUCCAGACUUAAGCAGAAACUCCGAAGUGAUUUACAGGAAGGAGGGGAGGAAUAUAAGGGAAACAGUGAACUCACCCAGGUAUUCACUGAGAUGUGGAUAUGUGAAGUGGAGGGAGG
rnacentral:lncRNA from 1 species